rnacentral:tRNA from 1 species
CGGAGCGUAGCUCAGCCCGGUAGAGCACUGCUUUCGGGAGGCAGGGGCCGGAGGUUCAAAUCCUCUCGCUCCGACCA